GCGCUCGCUUUGGCAGCACGUAUACUAAAAUUGGAACGAUACAGAAAAGAUUAACAUGCCCCUAGGCCAGGAUGACAUGCAAAUUCAUGAAGAGUUCCAUAUUUGC
rnacentral:snRNA from 1 species